GAGGCUUUCACUCAACUGUUCUACAAGAGAUGCAAAACAGUUUCCUGGUAAUUCAGCUCCCUUUCCCCUGAAGAUAAUGCAGGGCUGAUCAACACCUUUCUAUUGUUUGGUUUGGCUGUUUGCAAGUUAUUCGACGUUAAAGGAACACUGCAAAUGAUUAAAUAUACAUCAACUUCCACGUGAGUUUCAGACUUCAUAAGCCAUUGCACAUUGAUGCUAGUACUAUCGGUCCAUAUUUCUGCGGCUUGUGAGAAAAUCUGCCAGGAUGUGAGUCUCUUCCUUAAUGCCAAGUCAAGAUGAUGAAAAGGGUGUCCCAAGUGUCCUCCAGAGUGUUUCAGGAAAGCAUUUUAACAGCUUGCACUCAAAGCAGCUGGACACGAUUUUCUCUAUCUUUGUUAUCAUAGAUUUUGUUGGCAACAUUAAAAAUUUGGUUGUGUUGGACUACAAAGGAACUUAGCCAUCAAAUCUGAGAGCUUGGCCAUCUUAUAUGGGCUGAAUCCUACAUGUUAAGGAGCUUCAAUUCUAUGCUUUGAGGAACUCCCUCCCCAUAAAUAGGAGGACUACAUUCCAUUCACUUCUUACUUUGCUUUGCUUCUUAUUUUAUUCAUAGUGAAACCAGUAGCAAAAGACAGUGACGUAGCCCAAAACUUUGCAGAGAUUUGGGUGAACGUAUAAAUCUUGUGUUUUCAUGGGUGCCAACUGUGAUCAUCUACAACCUCACAGUUACUUGAGACAUAUUUCUUAUGAUCGCGUAUUCAGUGGAUGGUCUCCAUGGCCAUCUGGGAUGGGGCGAUUGACGAACCUUCAAUCAUUACCUGAGUUCCAGGUGCUUAAGAAGAUAGGUUGCGGAAUUGAGGAACUGGGCAGCAUGAAACAA